rnacentral:rRNA from 1 species
CCUACGGGUGGCAGCAGUGGGGAAUAUUGGACAAUGGGCGAAAGCCUGAUCCAGCCAUGCCGCGUGUGUGAAGAAGGCCUUCGGGUUGUAAAGCACUUUCAUUGGGGAAGAAAGCCUUGGGGCUAAUACCCUCGAGGAAGGACAUCACCCACAGAAGAAGCACCGGCUAACUCCGUGCCAGCAGCCGCGGUAAUACGGAGGGUGCGAGCGGUAAUCGGAAUUACUGGGCGUAAAGCGCGCGUAGGCGGUCUGAUAAGCCGGUUGUGAAAGCCCCGGGCUCAACCUGGGAACGGCAUCCGGAACUGUCAGGCUAGAGGGCAGGAGAGGAAGGUAGAAUUCCCGGUGUAGCGGUGAAAUGCGUAGAGAUCGGGAGGAAUACCAGUGGCGAAGGCGGCCUUCUGGACUGACACUGACGCUGAGGUGCGAAAGCGUGGGUAGCAAACAGGAUUAGAUACCCCAGUAGUC